rnacentral:rRNA from 1 species
AUUGAACGCUGGCGGCAUGCCUAACACAUGCAAGUCGAACGAGUGGCGGACGGGUGAGUAAUGUCUGGGAAACUGCCCGAUGGAGGGGGAUAACUACUGGAAACGGUAGCUAAUACCGCAUACCAUCGGAUGUGCCCAGAUGGGAUUAGCUAGUAGGUGGGGUAACGGCUCACCUAGGCGACGAUCCCUAGCUGGUCUGAGAGGCUGACCAGCCACACUGGAACUGAGACACGGGCCAGAAUCCGACGGGAGGCAGCAGUGGGGAAUAUUGCACAAUGGGCGCAAGCCUGAUGCAGCCAUGCCGCGUGUAUGAAGAAGGCCUUCGGGUUGUAAAGUACUUUCAGCGAGGAGGCGUUACCCGCAGAAGAAGCACCGGCUAACUCCGUGCCAGCAGCCGCGGUAAUAC